rnacentral:lncRNA from 1 species
AUGAAGGCCACUAAACCUCUGUCUCAUCGGGGUGACCCCUGCAUUUGCUUCUUGUUCCUCAACCUGGCCUCCAGCCCAAUGCCUCAAGCCCUCAGCUCUUCUCAACUUGGUCCCUCUCUCCAUUCUCUACCUUCUUUAUGUAUCCCAGGCUGUGUGUGCCUGGCCAGCCAGUAAGGAUGGGGUGAGUAUGGGGAGGGGGGGAGUGAGUCGGGCUCUGUCUGGCCGGCACUUUGCCAGUCUCCCUGUCUCCCGCCCAUGCUAAUGACUCCCUGACUGACACCUGGCAAGACCAUUGGGUUGGGGGAGGCCAGG